UGCAGAGAUUUGCAGCCUGCAAGGCCAGAAGAGAUCGUGAGGUCAGCUACUGCGACCCCGCCCCCGGCUACGUAUCACAGACCUCCUGUCUGGCGCAGAACCUGAAGGCGCGCAUGAACCUGAAUGGGACCAGCUAUGAUGUAAACUUCAAAGAAAAGUGCAAAAAGAAGCAGCAGCAGAAGUCCCAUUCGACAAAGUCUGUGAGUGCAAUGUUUCAUUGAUGCUGCUAUUAAUCCUCAGUCCCCUGCUCUCACGCUGUGUUCCCGGAGUCAUCGACUGAGCCAAGAAACCUGGCUGCGUGAGCUGGUGUCAGAGAGAUGGAGUUCUGAGAGGUUUUAAACCGUAUGCCCGGCAGGAUUCAUCAGACAGCUGCCUGGACUCGUCCGUAUACAUCUCAGCAAACAACCACUAACCACGGAAGUACUGCUCACUUUUUCCCUGUAAAUGCAUGAGCCCAGCUCUUCCACGACUAGAAAUCCGUGUUGCUGUACAUGAAUUCGCAUCUAUUGACAAUUUGGCCCCAUGUGCUCUGUUAGGGUCCAGGGCUAUUGGCCCUGGAUUGUUAUUACUAGCGACCGGGCUGCUGGCUGCGUUUUGCAUUUUGUUUGGAAACACCCAGCUGUAAUUCAGAACGAAUCGGGCCCCUCCAAAGUGCUCUCUGGGGCUGACAGUCCCCUAAUCAGUGUGAGAAUCCGUCAGAGGAUUUGCGUCUCUCUGAGACCCGUACAACUAACUAUCAAAGCAGUUUGUACCGUUCUUUAUACUAUCAUCUGACAUGGAGCGUCUGGCCCGACGUUCGGCUAUGCCCAGACUAGCUUGUUCGGUCUCUGAAAACUCUUUGGGGACUUCCUGGGGGCUUGGUGACAAGACUCUUUGGGGACUUCCUUGUGAUUGGUGACGAGAAUUGUGGAACAUGAAAAAAUGCAAAGGAAGCACGCCCUGAAGCAUCGUUGGUUUUCAAAUCCCCAGAAGAAGGACUAAUUUUGUAACCAUCAAGGCAAAGCCUCCGCACAAUACACUACCGGUGGCCGGGCUAAUGCGUUCUCUUUUCUUGGCUACUGCAAAAACCACUCAUGCUAACCCUCCGGCUGCAUCUCUUGUACCUGUGAAUCCUCGUGCACCAUUAGCCAUUAUAAAAUAUUGCUUCCCGGAACUGUCACCGAAGAAAUGUGGAAUUCAGCCGAAAGGAGGAGCAAAGCAGCUUUUGAAGAGGUUUGGAUUGAGUCUGAUGAUGAGACAUGAGCCACAAGUGACUUUAGGGGCACAUCUUUCGCUGGGAUAAAUGGUUGUGGCUCCAAUGCACAAUUUACAGGCAUUAUAUUGAAAAGCUAUAGCCAGCUGGAGCUAUCAGAAUUGACCCUAGCUGGGGACUGCUACCUGCCUCUUAGCUGUUAAAGAUGAGAGGAAAAGUGAAGCAGACAGGCAAGGCAGAUCGAGCAAGUUGGGAACAAAGCUUUUUCGGAAUUAUGAUUAGUGUCCUCCCUUAAUAACGACUCCAGCUAGAGCUAACGAGGUGGAUCUGAUUUGCUCUGCUUAGCUUCCCAGCACAAGUCGUUGCAGAGUGAUCAAAUAUUACCAGUUUGGACCCGAGCCACACACACAUCCACUUUGCAAACUCAUAAACCAACUGCAUAUUGCAAAUGGCCCGUUUUGUCGCUGAUGCACCGAGGACAAAACUGAUUUUAUGGCUCCGUCUUGCUUGCCCAGUCUGUUACAAAAACAGCAUUUUGUGCCUCCCCUCCCGCGAAAAAUGUCCGACCUACCUCUUUUCCCCAUCCUGGGAACCAGGCAGUUUAACUCUGAAAAUUGCAGCUGAACCUUUGCUUCAGAAACUCAAAAGAGAGAAUCAUUUUGGUCUCAUAAUGCAGUUUCCUAGACAGCUUUUUGAUAAAAUGCCUCUCUCCUUUUGCAUAGAAAUAGGGCACCCGGCAGGAGCCCAAGCACUUAUUGGAAGCACUGAAAUAUUUAAACUUCCUACAGAUGAAACCGGUUCCCCUUUCAUAAAUGAAUUCCAAGCCAUGCACUCACCUGCAA